AGAUGGUGGAGGUUCUUGUUUGUGCACAAAAUUGGCUUUGAAGUAACAUUCCAAUAUGCCUUAGACAAGCAAUGGAGGAUGUUGAGCAAUUUGAACAACAAUAUGAUUCGGUUGUUUCGGAGUCAAGCUCAUGUUCAAGCCCAAGUCCAGAGACUAAUUUUAUUGAAGUUUAAUAUUAUUGGUUUACAUGGCUCAUGAUUUGGUGAAAAGAAAUGAAUGGUUUUUUUGCUACUUUUUGGAUGACUGUAACUUAUUUUUUUUGGAUGCACAAUAUUUGUUGGAUGAGCAAAAAAAAGUUACAGUCAAGGGGAAAUAUUGUG